GCGCCCAUAGCUCAGCUGGAUAGAGCAUUGGCCUCCGAAGCCAAAGGUCGCACGUUCAAAUCGUGCUGGGCGCA
rnacentral:tRNA from 1 species